UUGUUUAUUAAAUAGAUAAACAGCAAUUCAUCGAAUAAUUCAUGGAUCAUGCUGGAUAUAUAAAGCACACGUUUCCAAACGUUUAAAUCAUUCACACUUCAAACUCAUACUUAACAAGGUUCGAAAAAAAGUAUCUGCUUAAACUAUUAAAAACAUUUCAUUUCUUUACUUACAAAAUGGGAUACAAAAUCGUUUCUAUCUUUCUGUUGGGUGCCAUCGUUGCAUUGAACUUCUCGACCUGCCUAGCCUCCGACUUUUCUGUCGCUAGCCCGGACGACAAUUCCAUGGGGAUCGAACGAGUAAGGGGCACUCCAGAUGAAGAUGGCACAAUCGUUUCCCUCCAAAAGGAUCAAAUUGCCCCGAAAUGUACCUACUGUGGGGGAUAUAGCCACGCGGGAUGUAGCAACUUUUGUUUCUGGGAGGGGUACAGAUGCUACAGUUGUAUCUCUCAUCCCUGUUACUGUGUCUGCACACAGGCUGGAUGUUAAACAAUUUUAGCUACAUAACUACACAAGUAGCUACAGGAUCUUGAUUUGAAUUAAUAAUACGUAUUACUAUUUCUUAAAACUUCUUACGUACUCUCCCAUUCUAAGCUUUAUGUCGUGAUCAAAAUAAAUAUGGAAUUAAUUUGUGAAAAUUUUA